CGCUGAAAGCAUCUAAGCGUGAAGCCCCCCUCAAGAUGAGAUUUCCCAUUUCUUCGGAAAGUAAGAUCCCUGAAAGAUGAUCAGGUAGAUAGGUUUGGAGUGGAAGUGUAGCGAUACAUGGAGCGGACAAAUACUAAUCGAUCGAGGACUUAACCAAAA
rnacentral:rRNA from 1 species